rnacentral:rRNA from 1 species
AGUAAUGUAUGGGGAUCUGCCCGAUAGAGGGGGAUAACUACUGGAAACGGUGGCUAAUACCGCAUAAUGUCUACGGACCAAAGCAGGGGCUCUUCGGACCUUGCACUAUCGGAUGAACCCAUAUGGGAUUAGCUAGUAGGUGGGGUAAAGGCUCACCUAGGCGACGAUCUCUAGCUGGUCUGAGAGGACGAUCAGCCACACUGGGACUGAGACACGGCCCAG